rnacentral:rRNA from 1 species
GAUGAACGCUAGCGGCAGGCCUAAUACAUGCAAGUCGAACGGGAUUAAGAGGCUUGCUUCUUAUGAGAGUGGCGCACGGGUGCGUAACACGUAUGCAACCUACCUUCAACAGGGGGAUAGCCUUCCGAAAGGGAGAUUAAUACCGCAUAACAUAAUUGAACGGCAUCGUUUGAUUAUCAACCUCACAAGGGUUGAAGAUGGGCAUGCGUCCGAUUAGUUAGUUGGUGAGGUAACGGCUCACCAAGGCAUCGAUCGGUAGGGGAUCUGAGAGGAUGACCCCCCACACUGGUACUGAGACACGGACCAGACUCCUACGGGAGGCAGCAGUAAGGAAUAUUGGUCAAUGGACGGAAGUCUGAACCAGCCAUGCCGCGUGCAGGAAGACGGUCCUCUGGAUUGUAAACUGCUUUUGUUAGGGAAGAAACCCUCGUAUGCGUACGAGGCUGACGGUACCUAAAGAAUAAGGAUCGGCUAACUCCGUGCCAGCAGCCGCAGUAAAAC